CCGCUGGUCCGGGCCCCUCUGGCGAGAGCUUCGGCACUCUUGCGAUGUCGGACCUUAUUC
rfam:Ensifer sp. Root278 contig_8, whole genome shotgun sequence.